rnacentral:rRNA from 1 species
GAGGCAGUUCGGUCCCUAUCUGCCGUGGGCGCUGGAGAAUUGAGGGGGGCUGCUCCUAGUACGAGAGGACCGGAGUGGACGCAUCACUGGUGUUCGGGUUGUCAUGCCAAUGGCACUGCCCGGUAGCUAAAUGCGGAAGAGAUAAGUGCUGAAAGCAUCUAAGCACGAAACUUGCCCCGAGAUGAGUUCUCCCUGAGACUUUAAGUCUCCUGAAGGAACGUUAAAGACGAUGACGUUGAUAGGCCGGGUGUGUAAGCGCAGCGAUGCGUUGAGCUAACCGGUACUAAUGAACCGUGAGGCUUAACCUU